CUACUGCUCUUAACAGAAACCAUUCAAUGAGUCACUUGUCAUUUGCAAAAACGAACAGUUGCAUUUUGUUGCAUUA